rnacentral:rRNA from 1 species
CAUCACUACGCUAGAUGCAUAUCAAUAAGCGGAGGAAAAGAAACUAACUAGGAUUCCCUUAGUAACGGCGAGUGAAGCGGGAAGAGCUCAAAUUUGAAAUCUUCAAGGGUUCUACCUUUACGAAUUGUAGUUUAAAGAAGUGUUUUCUGUUGGAGUUUCGGUAAAAGUUCUUUGGAAUAGGACAUCAUAGAGGGUGAGAAUCCCGUAUUUGACCAGUUACUUUCCAGCUGUGUGAUACACUUUCAAAGAGUCGGAUUGUUUGGGAAUGCAGUCCAAAAUGGGUGGUAAAUUUCAUCUAAAGCUAAAUAUUGGCGAGAGACCGAUAGCGAACAAGUACCGUGAGGGAAAGAUGAAAAGAACUUUGAAAAGAGAGUUAAACAGUACGUGAAAUUGUCAAAAGGGAAGCGUUUGACACCAGUGUUGUUUAGUUGAAAAUCAAUUCAAUAAUUUUUGAUUUUGAGUAGUAUUGACUUCAUCAGCUUGCUGCUUUCUUUUCAGAAAUUAUUGAAUGCACUUUUCAGUUAACAAGUCAACAUCAAUUUCUUUUGUUGUAAAAGGGUAAGAGGAAGGUGGCUUACGCUUCGGCGUAAGUGUUUAUAGCCUUUUACCUCUGCAAUCGGAGAGAUUGAGGACAGCAGCGUAGACUCCUUCGGGGUUAGAUACACUUGUGCUAAGCUAUAGCCUUGUAUAGACAACUUGUUGACUACGCUCAGUCAUGUAGCUUACUCGCUUAGUGCUAUUUUACCUACGCUUAGGAUGUUGACACACGCGCGUGCUCG